CACAGUACAGACACAGAGAGACGGACGGACAGACACAGGAGACUAGAGAACACCCUGAAGGAGAGGAGGAGAUAGAUGGAUAGAUUGACAGAAGGUAUCUCUCUUACUUGGCACACGCCCUACAGGGGUAUGGAGGGGUAGGCUGUGUGUGGAGCUUGGCGUUGGGGGGAGAGUUGCUCGGUCUGGGACUGGAGCUGAAUAGAGAGGGGGACAUCCUCAGACAGACCGGCCCAUAAAAGUGAGCCUUGCUGGGCCUCUCUACCUCUCCUAGGGCUGGGCUACAGCAACCAGAACCAGAACCAACCUGGAGCAGGGGACAGGAGGAACCACUGUGGAUCGGUUGGCAGGCAUUCUGUGUCGAAAUGGUGUGGAGCCCCAUUUUACCAUUCAUGGUGGGCUGAGAUGGAUAGACCUACAGAGAGAACAGGUUACAGUAGUACUGACAGCAAGUCUGAGACACUCACCUGUCCGUCAUUGUAGUCCCCGCUGACGAGGGAGACGAUAUGAUUGGCUGUGGGCCCAGAGCAGGGGAGAACGACUGCCCCCUCUCAGUGAAGCCACAAAGUUCAAGGCCGACCACGCCCGACCCGCCUGCACGCCCGAGCGCCCGAGCCGCCUGCACACCCGAGCCGCCUGCGGCGCCCGAGCCGCCAGCACGCCCAAGCCGCCUGCACGCCCAACCCGCCUGCACGCCCGACCCGCCUGCACGCCCGACCCCCAUCAGUCUAGUCAACAACUCUCUCCCCAACAACUUCCUUCCCAUCUUUUUCUUUUAUGUCUCAAGGGAAAUGUUUGAAAAACAAUAGUUUUAACAAAAACAGAUAUACACCUCCUACACAUGAACACACAGAAGCAGUACAUCCUCCAUGUAAUUCAUAUCAUAGGCCUAAUAGUACUAAUAGUAUCUAGUGGCUAGGGGUCCUCGGCCCUUCUGUGCCCCAACCCAACACACCCAGCUUUAGGAUCUUAGUGAAACAUUCCUUAUUGGUUUCAGGUGUCUUAGGCCGAGGCCAGAGUGACAACUAACAGUACAACAGACCCCAAGGGCCAGGACUGAGCAGCCCAGCAGCUAGGGAUUACUUAAAUAGGUAUCUCCCCUAGCGUCUCCCAAGUCUUUCCUCACAUUUUUGCUUUACAUGUUGGGAAAAGCCUCUAUCAACCAUUGAUACAGUUUGGAAAUCAACUUUAGAGGUUUGUCAGACUGCCUUAAAAUAGCAUCCAACUUUGAAGCUUCUUGCUUGGCCAGUGUUUGCUGCACAGAGAGAAUAAAGGGUUGUAUCUGUGGAAGUUCCCUGGUUGCCUGACCCUGAUGAGACCCCUGUCACCAUCUGAUCCUGCUCAGAUGAGGCAUGACAAAGAAUUACAUUGGUGUACAUUUAUACAUUAUAUUAUCCAAGAACAGAGUCAAUGGUUCAAUCAUUGAGAUGACCAUAAUUCCCAGAUCUCAGACUGUAGUCAACCCAUCAACUCAAGAUGGAACUUUAUAUCCAUUCACUGAUUGUUAUGAUAUACUGCUAAAUUCUAGAAGAAAAAGAAACGCACACCUAUUAAGGCGAGGUGCUGGCUAGCGGAGUAGAAAAUUUAAAAAUAAAGGAGAGCCGCACACUCUAGGAGCU